UACGGAGGGGGCGAGCGUUAUUCGGAAUUAUUGGGCGUAAAGGGCGCGUAGGCGGUCCGACAAGUCAAAGGUGAAAUCCCUCGGCUCAACUGAGGAACUGCCUUUGAAACUGUCGGACUUGAGUCCGGGAGAGGGUAGUGGAAUUCCCAAUGUAGCGGUGAAAUGCGUAGAUAUUGGGAGGAACACCAGUGGCGAAGGCGGCUACCUGGACCGGAACUGGACGCUGAUGCGCGAAAGCGUGGGUAGCAAACG
rnacentral:rRNA from 1 species